rnacentral:rRNA from 1 species
AGCUCCAAUAGCGUAUAUUAAAAUUGCUGCAGUUAAAAAGCUCGUAGUUGGAUUUCUGGCGUGGUGCGCCAAGCCCGCCGUCGUUUAGGCGGUGAGCGCUUUGUGUGCGCCUGUCAUCCUUCCGGAGAGCGUAGCCUACCCUUAACUGGGCCGGGUUGCGCGAUCUGGAUCGUUUACUUUGAAAAAAUUAGAGUGUUUAAAGCAGGCGUUUGCUAUGAAUACAUUAGCAUGGAAUAAUAAGAUAGGACUUUUCUAUUU